CAGCUUGUUGGUGAGGUAAUGGCUCACCAAGGCAUCGACGGGUAGCCGGCCUGAGAGGGUGACCGGCCACACUGGGACUGAGACACGGCCCAGACUCCUACGGGAGGCAGCAGUGGGGAAUAUUGCACAAUGGGCGCAAGCCUGAUGCAGCAACGCCGCGUGAGGGAUGACGGCCUUCGGGUUGUAAACCUCUUUUAGCAGGGAAGAAGCGAAAGUGACGGUACCUGCAGAAAAAGCGCCGGCUAACUACGUGCCAGCAGCCGCGGUAAUACGUAGGGCGCAAGCGUUAUCCGGAAUUAUUGGGCGUAAAGAGCUCGUAGGCGGUUUGUCGCGUCUGCUGUGAAAUCCCGAGGCUCAACUUCGGGUCUGCAGUGGGUACGGGCAGACUAGAGUGCGGUAGGGGAGAUUGGAAUUCCUGGUGUAGCGGUGGAAUGCGCAGAUAUCAGGAGGAACACCGAUGGCGAAGGCAGAUCUCUGGGCCGUAACUGACGCUGAGGAGCGAAAGGGUGGGGAGCAAACAGGCUUAGAUACCCUGGUAGUCCACCCCGU
rnacentral:rRNA from 1 species